UCCAGCUAUUUGGCCCAACCCAUAUUAGAUUGUGUUAUAAAGACAUGGUAAAUUACAUCACGAAGGGAAGAGCAGAGGAAACAUAAUAUUCCUUCAAGACCCAUCAGCUCAGAUGUUAGCAGAACACCCCUAAGGAGGAAAACAAGAAAUUUUGGGUUUGAACUUGGUGCUUCCCAGCAGCCCUGGGAGUGGGGUCAGAAGCCCUGCUGGGGGGCGAAGAACUCUGAGGAUCAAAGAUGUUGAGCAUCACCUUAGAGGCCAAAGAUCAGAACAGCGGAGGUGGCCUUUGAAGCCCAACCUGUCUUUCACCAGAGAGUGAGAACGGCCUCUAUUUCCAGGAAGCUCACUGCAGCAAUAAUCACGAUGCUCUGAGCCUGACAAGCAGGUUACUUAUGAGAAACAAGCUUGAAAUCUCUGCACCUGGACCAGCUUCCAGAGGCUUUUGUCCUGACCAGCUGGCUUUGGGGAAGUAAAGGAAACCAGGGAAGAAGGGGCUGAAUUGGUUUCCACCGUGACCUUUGAACCCUCGGGCGAGUUGUCAACCUCACUGAGGAUGAGUGUACUCGAUAUCAAAUGAGGUCACUUUACUCGCAAGCUUGUUGUGAGGACUGAAUGAAACCUUUUCUUUUUUCUUGGAGUUUCAGAGCAAUGUCCCUGAGCCAAGCCCCAC
rnacentral:lncRNA from 1 species